rnacentral:rRNA from 1 species
GUACACGAGCGGCGAACGGGUGAGUAACACGUGGGUGAUCUGCCCUGCACUUCGGGAUAAGCCCGGGAAACUGGGUCUAAUACCGGAUACGACCUUCGGCUGCAUGGCUGGGGGUGGAAAGGUUUACUGGUGCAGGAUGGGCCCGCGGCCUAUCAGCUUGUUGGUGGGGUAAUGGCCUACCAAGGCGACGACGGGUAGCCGACCUGAGAGGGUGACCGGCCACACUGGGACUGAGACACGGCCCAGACUCCUACGGGAGGCAGCAGUGGGGAAUAUUGCACAAUGGGCGAAAGCCUGAUGCAGCGACGCCGCGUGAGGGAUGAAGGCCUUCGGGUUGUAAACCUCUUUCAGCAGGGACGAAGCGGAAGUGACGGUACCUGCAGAAGAAGCACCGGCUAACUACGUGCCAGCAGCCGCGGUAAUACGUAGGGUGCAAGCGUUGUCCGGAAUUACUGGGCGUAAAGAGUUCGUAGGCGGUUUGUCGCGUCGUUUGUGAAAACUCACAGCUCAACUGUGAGCUUGCAGGCGAUACGGGCAGACUUGAGUACUGCAGGGGAGACUGGAAUUCCUGGUGUAGCGGUGAAAUGCGCAGAUAUCAGGAGGAACACCGGUGGCGAAGGCGGGUCUCUGGGCAGUAACUGACGCUGAGGAACGAAAGCGUGGGUAGCGAACAGGAUUAGAUACCCUGGUAGUCCACGCC